rnacentral:rRNA from 1 species
UGGGGAAUAUUGGACAAUGGGCGCAAGUCUGAUCCAGCAACGCCGCGUGAGUGACGAAGGCUUUCGGGUCGUAAAGCUCUGUGGGGAGAGACGAAUAAGUAGAGGCUAAUAUCUUCUAUGAUGACGGUACCUCCUUAGCAAGCACCGGCUAACUACGUGCCAGCAGCCGCGGUAAUACGUGGGGUGCGAGCGUUGUUCGGAAUUACUGGGCGUAAAGCGUGUGUAGGCGGCUCAUUAAGUCUGAUGUGAAAUCUCUGGGCUUAACCCAGAAACUGCAUCGGAAACUGGUGAGCUAGAAUUCGGGAGAGGGUCGUGGAAUUCCUGGUGUAGAGGUGAAAUUCGUAGAUAUCAGGAGGAACACCGGUGGCGAAGGCGGCGACCUGGACCGAUAUUGACGCUAAGACACGAAAGCGUGGGGAGCAAACAG